rnacentral:misc_RNA from 1 species
UUCACAAGUUUUUAUCACCGUAGGUAGUACUGUUAAACCAUUUGUCAUGUACAAAAAAGAAUGAUACUUAAUGUUUUAUUGAGACAAUAUAUUCUAUAUUUUUAUUUUCGCUCAUAAAUUUUUAAUUUUAUACAUGAGUGUUUUUAUUAAAACCAAAAAUUGUGAUCUUUUAUUCAGAUUGUUCACUCUCAUUUGUAAUAAGUUGAGAACCAAAAUUUGCACUUUCUAUCCUAUUCUUUUUUGUUUAAUAAUUAUCUUCUGUAAUCAUUCAGAAAAUCAAGCAAUAGCAUCAAGUUCAGUGUACAGAUCUGAGUGGAUGUGGUUUUUGUACAUAAUAUUGCACAUAUCGUAACCAGGAAAAACUUUAAACUAAGAAAAUUAGUCAAAAUUGAUAUGCUUAAAGAAGCAGGUUAUUGCCAGUAAAAUGAAAGGUAUUUAACUCGUUUAAAAUCAGUAAGAUAUCCAAUUAUUGAAAUAUGGGAUUAUAUAUAAACUGUAUUCUGAUUAUUGUAAUAUAUACUACCAAAUAAGCUUUGUGUUUAAGGGUUAAGGAAAUGAAAGAACAUUCCAAAUAUUGCAUACAACACCUAGAUGUAUAGUUUGGUACUGUGUAAUCACAAGGCAAAAAUCAACUGUGAAAGAGAUGCAAUAUUGUAGACUAGAUGUUUUAUUCUUAUCUAGAAAUAGAAAAUUCAUUUGAAUUCAAAAGUAGAGUAGAUUUCUUGUUCUAAAUUUCAUUUCUACCUUUUCAUAGCACUGAAUCUCAAAUCCCCCCAAAAAGAUGUGCAACAGUAAUCGCCUAGCAUUUUUUUCUUGUUCGCUUUGUUUGUCAUUUCAUAUACAGAAAAUAGUGAUGCAAAAGUCAGGAGUUCUGAUAAUGUGGGUAGCUAUUUUAAUUUUAUGUAGAACUACUGAGCUUUUGUCACAGUGCUAGCGAACCAGCUACAGCUUGUAGUAGAGUCGCUGUAAAGCCUCACACAUAGCGACCCUCCUCAUAGCUGUAGUGGUGCUGCCUUACAAAGGAAGAUUUUUUCUUUAAAUAAUGUAUCUUUGCUGCAUGUGUUUAGCACAAACCUUGUUUACUGGUUUAUAUAGAACAUUUUUGUCCAUUCAGGUGGAGUCUUGUCUUUCAUUUUUAUAGAACAUGAAUUUCACCUGCCAAUUGUUUGUAGAGGAAUAACACAAUUUUCAAUAAACCUUUUAGAGACUUG